UCGCUAACUCCUCCGAAGGCUUUCGUUCCACCGGCAACAAAUUUGCUCAGGACAAUCUACACCCCAUGGCCAUUAAAAGUUGUACAAAUCAUGGCGCUGCACCCCACGGUUUACAUUCUAGGGGGCGCCAAAGAUAACCCAAAAAUCCACAUUCUUAAAAGUCUUAUAACUUUUUAUUUUUGUCCUCACUGGCCUCCAAGUUUUCUAGGAUGAUGCAAUGUCCAGCCAUCAACACAUUUGUGAAGAAAUUUUUACUCCCCAAAAGAGCGCCCCCCAUGGCAGGAGAAAAAAGUCCAUUUUUUCUUGUCCCCUAAGGUGAAAAUACACAUUGUUGAGUGUCAUGCCUGAACGCUUUGUCAUAUUGACACAAAAUUUGACACACACGUGUAUCUCAAUAAGAUCUACGAAAAAGUCAAAGAGCGCGUAUCUGUAUAAUGUACGGUUAAAGGGCUAUUUCGCAUUUUUUGCCGAUCCGCACACAUUGGAAUUUCGCUAACUCCUCCGAAGGCUUUCGUUCCACCGGCACCACAUUUGCUCAGGCCAAUCUACACCCCAUGGCCAUUAAAAGUUGUACAAAUCAUGACGCUGCACCCCACGGUUUAGGUUCUAGGGGGCGCCAAAGAUGACCCAAAUAUACAUUACAGCAGACAAAGUAGUUUUGCCCACUGAGUGGCGCCAAAGGGACUUGUCUAUGGAGACUGGGAGUCACUAUUGGCCGUUUUUGACUACUUUAGAUUUUACCUUUAUAUUUCCUCUUAAAAUUUUUUUACCUUGCCUUGCCUGGUAUCAUUUUUUUCAGCACAACCUCACCUGUGUGACUUUACAGUUAUUUUAUCAUUUUCACAUACUGUUUUUACACAAUGGACCCAAAUUCACACACAAAACAUAAUAUCCGAGUGGAAAAAAGUAACAUUUUUACUGUGAAAACCACAAAUAUGUGUGAUGAACUGUUUUAAAACUUAAACAUCAAAUAAAAAUUUUAAACUUCAAAACAUUUGCAAAUUUUUAACAAAGAACAUAGUAAUUUAAAUCUAUUUACAUCAAAAUGCAGGCAAUGGCCCAGGCGUUCUUUGUAAAAUUAUUUACAAAACACUGUAUAGUCUCACAAAUGUCACUUUUUAUUUAUGCCACUACAAAAAAAAACAUGAUGUAAAUGAUGCAUGAUGUAAAACAUGAUGUAAAAAACUUGUGUAGAUCCUCCUCUAUGUUAGUCCAUGUGUAAUUUUUCCAUAAUUCUUUGUUUUGUCCAGCAUUUUUGUUAGUGUAACUGCAGAUUGUGCUGACAGUGUCGAUGGCAAAAAAACAAUAAAACAAACUGAAAAUGCCUCAACAUGAACCCCUGGUGGUCUCUGAGGGUGAAACCUGCUAACUGCUGCAGCUCUGUCAGCUUCAGUCUCCCAUGCAGAGCUCUGAGUGCAUGUGUGGCUCUGCACCCUUAGCAGCGUUGCUAACUCCUCAGUAAGGAAAGCCUGCUUCAUGUCAGAGUCUCUAAACUCCAGAAGAAGUCGAUAAAAGUCCCUUUCUUUAAAAAAAAAAGUCGUUAGGGGGUCUGAAAAGUCAUUGAAUCUAACAACAAAGUCGCUAGGUUUGCAACUACGUGUCCCAGACUGCAUCCC